UUGAAUUUUGUGUAGCAGGCUAUUUUUAGUACAGAUGCGGUGCCUAGUUGGGAUAAUAUUGUUAUUGCAUAUGAACCUGUAUGGGCCAUUGGAACUGGCAAAGUAGCCUCUCCCGAGCAAGCUCAGGAAGUACAUGUGGCUCUCCGUGAUUGGCUUAAGAAUAAUGUCUCAGCUGAAGUCGCAUCUAAAACACAAAUAAUUUAUGGAGGAUCUGUAAAUGGGGGCAAUAGUGCUGAGCUUGCAAAGAAAGAAGACAUUGAUGGAUUUCUUGUUGGAGGUGCUUCAUUAAAGGGUCCUGAAUUUGCCACCAUUGUUAAUUCAGUCACAUCCAAGAAAGUCGCAGCUUGAUUACUUAUUGUGGUUUUUGCAAUAUGAGAGCAUUAACAAAUAUGACAGUAAUGACAUUAUGUGUACUGUUAUAAUAGUGUGGUCAUCAAUCAUCAUAAUCCCAAUGUCACUAGCAAAUUAGCACGAUGGGUAGCAGUAAGCAAACUGCAGGCCUCAGCUCUAAUUUCAGAACCUGGUCCCCUGUAUCCUGGUCAAUUUCGAUAAACAACAAAUCGUAGUUUGGAGGGGAAGGAUUAUAAGCACUUGAAAGGUAUGGAUGUUGUUAAUUUAAUUAUACUUAGUUAUUAAUAUGGAUGUUGUUGAGUUUGUUUGUUGGUGUACAUGCUGAAUUUGGAAAACCUCGCCGAACUCUGUUUGUUGAUUUUUUAAAUAUGCAAGUGAGGAU